AAUAAGAACAGCAUGUGGAUUCUGGACCCUUACAGAGUACCUCGCAGCUUCCUCAGCGUUCUAGGAACUUCGUUCGCACCGAACAUUAUCGCUUACAUAAUGAAUGUGCAAAAGUAUGGCGAACUGCAGGUUGUUUUUAAUGGCAUGGCGUGGCAUGGAAAAUUUUGUAAAUGAUAUGAAAAGGAAUGUUGAAGAAAGCAAUUACAAUUAUUUAAAAUAAAUAUCUGCUAUUCGCAAAUUCAAUCAAGAUUAAAUUAAACUGAACGCUAAAUCAAACUUUAUUUAAAGUAAAAAUUACAUUUAAAAUGUUGCUGAUUAAGAAUGUUUUAUACUAAUAAUUUGCUUGAGUACCAAGUAAAUAAAUACAAAAAGAUCAGACUACAAGAGACUUUAAUAAAUUAUAUUCCAACUAGAAAGUUUGAUAUGUAUAGAAGUCUGUGAACGUCGUAGCUAGACACUCGUCAGGUUGGAAACUAGGUCUUGCCUAGUAACCCAUUUCGUUAUAUUUUCCAGCAUAAAUCGAUGUUCCAUUUUGUUGGACGCAUCCAUCUCGGCAGUUAUACAUAUUUUACCCAAUAUAAGAGUAAAGCAUAGAAUUUAAAUGUAACUAUUUUCAAAGUUUUAAAUGAAAGAUUGCAAGCAGAGGAUAUUCUAAGAUGCCUCAUGAAUAUUCCGUGAUAUGAAAAAUCAAUUCUUCACUGAAUAUGAAAUGCUUCGAGCUAAAUUUUAUCGUAACGAUUACAAAUCUAUAUCGAAUAUCUAAUAUUCUGUCCUUGAUGUAACUUCGAUAUUUCAGAGGGACGCGUUGUUUCAUGAAGAGUCCGAAAAGAUUGAGGAAAAGCCGUUUCUUGAAGAUUUUCUAAACGCAGGAAAAGCUCGGAAAGAAACCGCGAGUUCGCACAAUCUGUGGCAAGUCCAACGUUCGUGCAUGGCGUUCGUGACGAAGCGUUUCAAGGCUGAGCCGCCGUUCCUCUCGGCCCCUUGCCUCGUCUCGGCUCGUCUACUAUCGGCUUUAUCCUCGUCUAUCCUCAUAUAUCCCACCGCGCCGCACAACGACGAAUCUAUCCUAUCGCAUGACUCCGCAGCGUUACGCAACAGCCAGUGCGCGCGCGAGCGCAAGCAUGAACGCGGCGUUGCCGAGCGUGGUCGAGCGAGCGGCCUCGACGCCGAAGAGAGGCGCGUGUACGAGUACAGUCGAGCGCAUUAAUAAUCGCAUAAUCAGCUGUCUGAUGCCCGCCAAGAGCAAAAAGAAUCGACGAGCGUGCGUGUCGCACAGUAAAUCCAUUAAUUCGCUCGAUGUAUGUAUUGUACAUGCAUAUGCGCGCAUAUGUAUGAAGGCGAUCGCAGACGGUUGCAAAUGCAUAACGUAAGAUGCAGGAGAGACUCGGUUUGCAAAUGACGAUUACGGCUACCCGUGAAAUCGGAUCCACGACCUAUGUUCCCGAUGGAUGCAACCGCGAGAGUUAAGUAGAUAAUUGAGCAAUUAUCAUGACGAUAAAUGCAGUAUGAGUAAUUAGCAAAAAUCGCAACAAUGAGCGAUGAGUAAUAAAAUACACGAUGACGGAUCAUUAGGUGACUAAUUGUAAGAUUCCACCACGGAUCGGUAAUCGGACGUCGAGUCAGUAAAAUAUCGUAACUAGGUCGGAUCGCUUCCUCCGAAGGGCAUGCAUGUAUAGUUAGCACCUUUGUUGCACUUCCGGUGCACUUCCGCAUAGCACCGUCGCGUCGGGGCCGUCGGAGAGACGUAAAGCGUGAAAUGCACGUGCACCUGCACGUUGCGGGAGCGCGCGCGAGCCUUGUGCGUUACCGCUCGUUCGGAACGGAAUAAAAGCUGAUCCCUGUCCUUCCGGGCAGACGUAUCACGGCGCACUGAUUGCACGAACCUCGUCAUCGAAGUCGGUCACGUUGCAAGGAGAUUGCAUGAAGAAGUAGAAACAGAAAAGAUAUGAACAGACAUACAACGGACUCUUGGAUUUGAUCGUUGGACGGGAUGCGCGGAAACAUAAAUCCGUGACUUCCUUUUACGAAAAUCACUCUUUGAGAGCUGAAAGAAGAUGGACGAAGCUACGAGAAAGACCAGUAAAAAGAGAGAGAGACACAGGAAGACGACGAGUCUAGCCGUUUCGGUUGCAUACAUUGAACACCCCUCCGUAUUCCUUUUCGGCAUCAUUUCCCUCUAGCUCCUCGGCACGCGGACAAUGGCUCUUUUUUCCGACGACGUUUGAAGGUCGAAACGCAAGUCGGUGUCAAACGGGAGUAGCAGCAGCGAGGCAAAAUGGCGAGCUCGUUCACGUAACCGCAAGAGGCAGGGAAUCCCUCCCCGCAUCGGCUAAAUCUAGCCCGCAACUUUUUCUUCAGUGCUCGCAAGGUCGAUUAAUUACCGACGCUCGCGUCUUUUUGCGAAUGCUGCUCAUCGUGGAAAUCUUCUUGACGCGCGCUUUACGCGCUUUACACGUUCAAUUUGCAUGCUGCCUCGCGUAACAGACGCGAUAAGGGGAGAACCGAACAGAAAUUUUUCUUCGCCUGGUAGUUGGAAUGGAAAUUCAUUGUAGGGUAAAAAAAGCAGAGAGGCAAUAAUAAAGUAAUUUCGCUGUGCACGGAUCGCAUAUUUAACUUGCGUUACUGAAUAAAUGGGGAGGAUACUGUUUCGUAACGUAAUGUACUUUUCGUAGCGUAUUCUGCAAUGGUACAUUUUAUCGUGGCGAUCGCGAUUGAGCACGCAACACACAUUACGGUAUAUCACGCAACAUUACACUUAUGAUAGUUGUGACACGCAGACGCUGGAGAAGCACGCUUGCGUGAUGCUUCCUGCGUACGCAUACCGGGUGCCCUACAUUUCUUAACUACAUCCACGCAUUAACUAUGCUUUUAUUAUGGUCACUGAUGUGGAACUUCACGAACGAACGAAGGAAAUCAGCAGAAAAGAGAAGUCAGAGACGCGAAAUGUUUAAAAGAAAUAAUUAAAGAUAUCUUUAAGUAGAGAAAGUUUUUAAUAUCAUUUUUAUAAUGUCACGCUUCUUAUUAUUUAUUAUAAAAUUACAAAAUAAUAUUACAGUUAAGAGUUCCAGCUGGAGUCACUCAUCCUGCGAGUUCGAUGGUGGAUUUUGCCGCGCUACCUUGUAUAAGUAGGAAAGUUGCGAAGAUUCCGUGAUUCCGCGUUUAGCAAAGGGGCCAAGAACAACAUCGAAGAAUGCACCGAGUGGUACAGCGCGCGUGUGCAGUGACACAGAUCCACGCCCCCAAACUCCUCUUCCUCCACCCUCCGUUAACCCCUUUGCAAACUAGGCCAGUGCAUCUAUGAGGCGACCGCAGAAAUUCGCUCGCAGGUUCCUAGUUAUUCAUGAAUUUUCGCAUUAUUUUUAUUUCUCAUUCAUGCUUAUCUUUCUAACGUUCCGCAUCUGUCUCCUGGAAAAAGGUGCUAGUGCUUCGGCACAGGAUAGUUUCAUGAACUCUAGCAUUGAAUUCUUUAUUUUGACAAAACUUAACUAACUCACAUCCCUAAUCCCACUCUUGCUUUCAUAGAACUGACCUGAUUGGAUCAGCCGUAAUACCAGUUACGUCACCGAGCGUGAGAAUCGUCCGUCAUCCUUGUAGGACCCUGAACAUUCCCUUCUUCGGUCUACCCGGCUAGAGGGCCGGCUGGUAGAGAUCGGCUUUGAGAGAGGGCAAGGGUAAUCGAGGAACCAUUCGAGGGGCGAGGGAGGAGCACCACGCAGAAUGGUAUUUCCGUUGUUGUAUCGCCUGUCCAUUUGGCAGGUUCGGUUGGGAGCAUGCGCGCAACUCGUGCCCACCUACUCACUCAUCUACCUACCUACUAGUCUGUUUGCCUGCUUACCUGCCUACCGGUUUGCCUUGAUCCCUCGAAUAGUCAGUAGGUGGGUUGGUAAGUAAGUAGGUACGUUUGUCUUACGUAAGCUUAUCCGCCAUACAUGCCGGGUCAACAAGAACGAAAAAAGGUGGAGGAGAAAAAAGAAUCAAAGGAAGGAGAUGCAGACGAGCAGUUGUUGAUAUUCAAGAUAAUUAUUUUAUUCCGAGAUAAUUUAUUAUUUUAUUAUCGAUGAAAAAUAAUCAUGACAGGUGUUCUUACCGGAAACGGGAAAAAGAAUCAUUAUUUAUGCAACAAUAUAAGGAGUUUAAAUAAUUAUUUGCAUUGAUAGCAGAUAAUUUUUGUGUACAUUUCUCAAAGUAAUUGGUACAAAUUAAAGCAAUUUAUAUAUUGUAGAUAUACGUUGAAAUCUCAUUGCUAGCAGUGUUUGGAUCAUAUAAUACUCUUUCCGCACAUACGUUUUUUAAGAAUUUUAGAAAUGAAUUAUCCGCACACAUACACACAAAUAAUUCGUCAGAAUAUUUUCACCAAUAUGAAUUUUUCAAAAUAUUCUUCACCUUCGGCAAUCCUACAUCCUACAACCAGGAUAAGAAAACAUUUAAUCGUUUCCACGUAUGAUGACCAGUAAUUUUCCUACAUUAUAUAGUAUGACGCACGGAUUGGCUCGCUCGCGUGCUCACGAUUUCCGGGAAGAAAGGAACACGAGUGUCGCGGUAUGCUUCCCGCAGGAGCGGCUCCGGUUGUCCUUGAGAUCUUGGUCCUCCUCAAUAUUGUUCAUGGCGGAAAGCUCUGUUUCGCAGGGCGUGGUCUAGCGAUAACCUCACAGGAGCCAUCUUCGACCGAGAAAUCGUCUGGGAAUGGUGGGUGAGGGUAAAAAUCGGGGUGGGCUUUUCGGCGAAGAAGAUACGAGCGAAUACCAUGGAGACCUCUAUGUGUGCAGGCUUAUGAUAGAAAUGGAUGAAAGAAAAGAUAUCAUUUUUCGCUAUCAUACUUCAAGGUUUCCACAAAAAAAUAUCGGACUUGAAAUAACGUUCUCCUCUUUUUAGAAAUAGAAAAUACUCGAAAUUUAAAACUAACGAUGCAAAGACUUUGCGUAUAAUUCUCUGUAAAAUAAAAAAUUAAAAAGAGUUUCUCAUUCUUCUCAUAAAUUUCUCGAGAACGAGUAAUCGAUCACCGUUAGUCAACGUAAUAUUGGCAUACGCGAAUGCAAAAUUGCCGACAUCUCGACUGUGCUCAAAGACUGCCUAAUAAAUGAUAUCGUUGUCGAUUACGCAACUUAGAAGUGUGUGCGUACGUGUGACGAUAAAGAUAUUUGGUCUAACUGUAGCACAUUGUCCAUUACUGAUCACUUAUUCAAGCUCAGUAUGCUUUUUUCAUCUGACUACGUUUUCACGAUUUAUGAUGUUUCGAGAAUUUUUAGUACUCCUUCGGAUACGUGAAAUAUGCGUUAUGUAACACACCCACGCGCGCAAGAGCCCGAGAGCUUCUAAAUAUAAAACUAAUUAAACAUCAUAAAUUAGAAUAUAGGAAUAUAUCGAAUAGAAAGGACAUUCGUAAGGGAUUUUAGACGCGUUCUAGAGAGAAAGGUGCGCUGACUUCAGCUCGAGAAAUAACCGUGCUGACUUCAGCACUAAAGUUCCGUUCAUAAAGCGUCGCGUGCUUUUAUUCGUCUUCGCUUCUUCAAGGCCUAGCUGCCCCCUUUGCACCCCCUUCUUGUAUCCCUUCCAUUCGACAGAUUCACUACAGCGUGCUUAUAACGUGGCACCUUUCCGCUCUUCUCGUCUCAUCAUGGCUACCAUCAGUCUCUCACUCUCUCUUCUUGCUUCCUUGCAUCUUUAUGUAUCUCCCCCUCUCCUUUUAUUCUACCUAUCUCUCUCGUGCAUUUUGCUCUUCUCUAGCAUCACACAUAUGCCUUGCCUACACCCCCUCCUGCCCUCAUGCAAUGAUCCACGGUCUUUACCGCUGCCUCUUUGCCCCACGAACCAACCGUUUCGCAAUGAUGUCAUCCGCACCAUUGGCGUCGAGUCUGAUUUUCAUAAAACUCCAAUGACGGAAUUAGAGUUAGGACUGCAAAUUUUGUAAUUAUUCAUCUCUGAUAAAGUUGUCGUAGAGUUUUGACAAUCACGCUUUUUGCAUGAUAUUUAUAUACUACGUAACAAAGUAUAAGUGAAUAUAAUAUUAUAAAAAUGAAUUUAUACAACAAUAAGCAAUAAUAUUACCAUGAAGGACAUGUUAUCAAAAUUAAUAAAAUAUGAUUUAAUUUUUAUUGAAACAUUUUUAUGACUGUGAAAAGCUAAUUCGUUUAUUUCUUUGGCAAGCUGAAAUGUUUUCCUGAAAUCAGGUACAGUGCGAUGAAGCAAGACGAUAUAAUAUCGGGGCCAACGAGUAAAAUUAGAUGGCGAGGAUGGAAUCCGAGUGCGGUAUGCGAUCCGAAAUGGAAACGGAAACGCUUGGUCUUAGCGAAAGAUGGCCGCAACAUGACGCUGCGUAAGAAAAUGGCGCCUUAGCACUCGCAAAUGGUUGCGUGUCCCACGCUCUCUUGUCACAAUAGAAAAAAAAUCUUCACGCUGUUUUUCUUUUUUAUGUAUACAUAUAUGUUAGAUUUAAAUUAGACAUUAAAUUUUUUUCAUAUAAAUGCUAAGGCCGCAUAGUUGAUAAAUCGUUAUCUUAUGUAA